GACGGGGGGGGCAAGUGUUCUUCGGAAUGACUGGGCGUAAAGGGCACGUAGGCGGUGAAUCGGGUUGAAAGUGAAAGUCGCCAAAAAGUGGCGGAAUGCUCUCAAAACCAAUUCACUUGAGUGAGACAGAGGAGAGUGGAAUUUCGUGUGUAGGGGUGAAAUCCGUAGAUCUACGAAGGAACGCCAAAAGCGAAGGCAGCUCUCUGGGUCCCUACCGACACUGGGGUGCGAAAGCAUGGGGAGCGAACAGG
rnacentral:rRNA from 1 species